rnacentral:ncRNA from 2 species
AAGAUUAGUGGGGGCAAUGAAGCGGCGUCCGUGAGGAGGUCACUGGGAUGCUGUGGAGCCAGUAGUGAAACCGACCACUUGGGUG